UACAGAGGUCCCGAGCGUUGUUCGGAUUCACUGGGCGUAAAGGGUGCGUAGGUGGCGAGGUAAGUCGGAUGUGAAAUCUCCAAGCUUAACUUGGAAAUGGCAUUGGAAACUACCUGGCUAGAGGUUUGGAGGGGGGACUGGAAUGCUUGGUGUAGCAGUGAAAUGCGUAGAUAUCAAGCGGAACACCAGUGGCGAAGGCGGGUCUCUGGGCAGUAACUGACGCUGAGGAGCGAAAGCGUGGGGAGCGAACAGG
rnacentral:rRNA from 1 species